rnacentral:rRNA from 1 species
AUUGAACGCUAGCGGGAUGCCUUACACAUGCAAGUCGAACGGAGUGGCGAACGGGUGAGUAAUGUAUCGGAACGUGCCCAGUCGCGGGGGAUAACUACGCGAAAGCGUAGCUAAUACCGCAUCCUUUUGGCUCGGCCGAUAUCGGAUUAGCUAGUUGGUGGGGUAACGGCUUAACAAGGCGACGAUCCGUAGCUGGUCUGAGAGGACGACCGGCCACACUGGAACUGAGACACGGCCCAGACUCCUACGGGAGGCAGCAGUGGGGAAUGUUGGGCAAUGGGCGAAAGCCUGAUCCAGCCAUCCCGCGUGUGCGAUGAAGGUCUUCGGGUUGUAAAGCACUUUUAGCAGGAAAGCGGUACCUGCAGAGUAAGCACCGGCUAACUACGUGCCAGCAGCCGCGGUAAUAC